UGUUUACAUAUUAGUUACCUAAUAUGAAAACACCUUUAGACCAUAGGAAUAGGGCUGUAGCUCCCCUUUAAGUUCACUGAAAAGUCAAAUCACAUAGUUAUGACAGUAAUGAUUCUCUGAUGUUGAAAUCUGUGUGAAGGUAAACUGACAUGAAGCAUUUACGUUUAUCAUUAUUCAUGCAUGCUGUUAUUUUGUAUGCAUUUGCAAAUACAUGUGUAGCUUACAUCCUUUGGGAAGAAUCCUUGUGUUUACAACUUGUGAUUAGAUUAUGGUUCUUGUGUUAAUC